rnacentral:rRNA from 1 species
GACGAACGCUGGCGGCGUGCCUAAUACAUGCAAGUAGAACGCUGAAGGAAGGAGCUUGCUCUUUCCGGAUGAGUUGCGAACGGGUGAGUAACGCGUAGGUAACCUGCCUGGUAGCGGGGGAUAACUAUUGGAAACGAUAGCUAAUACCGCAUAACAGUAGAUAUCGCAUGAUAGCUGCUUGAAAGGUGCAAAUGCACCACUACCAGAUGGACCUGCGUUGUAUUAGCUAGUUGGUGAAGUAACGGCUCACCAAGGCAACGAUACAUAGCCGACCUGAGAGGGUGAUCGGCCACACUGGGACUGAGACACGGCCCAGACUCCUACGGGAGGCAGCAGUAGGGAAUCUUCGGCAAUGGACGGAAGUCUGACCGAGCAACGCCGCGUGAGUGAAGAAGGUUUUCGGAUCGUAAAGCUCUGUUGUAAGAGAAGAACGAGUGUGAGAGUGGAAAGUUCACACUG